rnacentral:rRNA from 1 species
UAGUCCACACCGUAAACGCUGUCUACUAGCUGUUUGUGACUUUAAGUCGUGAGUAGCGAAGCUAACGCGCUAAGUAGACCGCCUGGGGAGUACGGCCGCAAGGUUAAAACUCAAAUGAAUUGACGGGGGCCCGCACAAGCGGUGGAGCAUGUGGUUUAAUUCGACGCAACGCGCAGAACCGUACCUGGGUUAAAUCCACCAGAACUUACCAGAGAUGGUUUGGUGCCCUUCGGGGAAUUGGUGAGAAGGUGCUGCAUGGCUGUCGUCAGCUCGUGUCGUGAGAUGUUGGGUUAAGUCCCAUAACGAGCGCAACCCCUAUCUUUAGUUGCCAGCGAGUAAUGUCGGGGACUCUAGAGAAACUGCCUACGUAAGUAGAGAGGAAGGCGGGGAUGACGUCAAAUCAUCACGGCCCUUACGUCCAGGGGCUACACACGUGCUACAAUGGCGAGAACAACGGGGAAGCUACCUGGUGACAGGAUGCGGAUCUCAAAAUCUCGUCUCAGUUCGGAUCGGAGUCU